rnacentral:rRNA from 1 species
UACGUAGGUCCCGAGCGUUGUCCGGAUUUAUUGGGCGUAAAGCGAGCGCAGGUGGUUUAUUAAGUCUGGUGUAAAAGGCAGUGGCUCAACCAUUGUAUGCAUUGGAAACUGGUGGACUUGAGUGCAGGAGAGGAGAGUGGAAUUCCAUGUGUAGCGGUGAAAUGCGUAGAUAUAUGGAAGAACACCGGUGGCGAAAGCGGCUCUCUGGCCUGUAACUGACACUGAGGCUCGAAAGCGUGGGGAGCAAACAGG